rnacentral:rRNA from 1 species
UACGUAGGGUGCGAGCGUUAAUCGGAAUUACUGGGCGUAAAGCGUGCGUAGGCGGUUCGUCAAGUCUGAUGUAAAAGCCCAGGGCUCAACCCUGGAAAGCCGGUGGAUACUGUCGGGCUAGAGUCCGGAAGAGGCGAGUGGAAUUCCUGGUGUAGCGGUGGAAUGCGCAGAUAUCAGGAGGAACACCGAUAGCGAAGGCAGCUCGCUGGGACGGUACUGACGCUGAGGCGCGAAAGCGUGGGGAGCGAACAGG